CCUACGGGAGGCAGCAGUAGGGAAUAUUGGGCAAUGGGCGCAAGCCUGACCCAGCGACGCCGCGUGAGGGAUGAAGGUCUUCGGAUUGUAAACCUCUUUCAGUAGGGAAGAAGCGAAAGUGACGGUACCUAAAGAAGAAGCACCGGCUAACUAUGUGCCAGCAGCCGCGGUAAUACAUAGGGUGCAAGCGUUGUCCGGAAUUAUUGGGCGUAAAGAGCUCGUAGGUCGUUUGUCGCGUCGAUUGUGAAAAUCUGAGGCUCAACCUCAGACCUGCAGUCGAUACGGGCAAACUAGAGUGUGGUAGGGGAGACUGGAAUUCCUGGUGUAGCGGUGGAAUGCGCAGAUAUCAGGAGGAACACCAAUGGCGAAGGCAGGUCUCUGGGCCAUUACUGACACUGAGGAGCGAAAGUUCGGGGAGCGAACAGGAUUAGAUACCCUGGUAGUCCGCGCCGUAAACGGUGGGUACUAGUUGUGGGAACCUUCCACGGUUUCUGCGACGACGCUAACGCAUUAAGUACCCCGCCUGGGGAGUACGAUCGCAAGAUUAAAACUCAAAGGAAUUGACGGA
rnacentral:rRNA from 1 species